rnacentral:tRNA from 2 species
GCGGGAUUAGUACAAUGGUAGUAUGAGACCUUCCCAAGGUUUAGACACGGGUUCGAUUCCCGUAUCCCGCUCCA